GAAAAGGCAAAGAGAAGAAGAAGAAAAAUGUUGGCACAGGAGAGACAUGCAGAAUUUAGGAGUCAUAUAAUCACUCUAUGUAUGCAGAGGAGUAGCUCAUACAUGCCCAGAUCUCAUCCUAAUACUUCAGAUCAAGCCUGGGAACUUAAAUGUGUGUCAUCUGGAAGUUA